CAGAGUUGCAAGACUCCCUAAACCAUUGUGAACCUACCUUCUACCGUUGCUUCGGCGGGCGGGCCCAGCGCCCCCCCCCGGCCUCCCGCGGGCGCCCGCCGGAGGAUACCCAAACUCUUGACAUUAGUGGCCUCUCUGAGUAUUCUUUACUGAAUAAGUCA
rnacentral:misc_RNA from 1 species